GGGCGGUUAGCUCAGCUGGUAGAGCGUCUGCUUUACACGCAGAAUGUCGGGGGUUCGAGUCCCUCACCGCCCA
rnacentral:tRNA from 1 species